CGUAGGUCCUUAUCUAUCGUGCACCUCAUACAAUUCAAUGUCUAUUACUCUUCAAGUCCUCACAAAUUAAUUGACUAUCAACUCAUGAUACAUGUGUAGAAAAUCUGAUAAUAUCGGUUAAUGAUUUGAGAAGUGUCGUUGUUUUUAUAAAAUGGCAUGUUUGCAUCAAGUUUAGUUCGAUUUUAAGCCUUAGGUGGAGCUUCGAAGUUAGCCGUUUGGUCUACGAACCAUCUCUCGCACUCUAAGAGUCAUGGCGGUGGCCUUUCUAAGUCUGAUCACAUGGUUUCUGGUAUUGCACACUGUGUCUGGUGAUACUUGCUUGAGCUCGGAAACCGUCAGUGAUUGUCUCUGUCACAGCGCGCCACCUCGUUUGCCACCGCAGCCCAGGUUCUGUCAUCCACCUCCAUCAUGUGUUCCAGAGAGAUUGGAAUGUGGCGGUUGGAACUGUGAUUCAUGGACCGAGGAAUGUGACCAAUCAAA